CGGCGGACGGGUGAGUAAUGCUUAGGAAUCUGCCUAUUAGUGGGGGACAACAUUCCGAAAGGAAUGCUAAUACCGCAUACGCCCUACGGGGGAAAGCAGGGGAUCUUCGGACCUUGCGCUAAUAGAUGAGCCUAAGUCGGAUUAGCUAGUUGGUGGGGUAAAGGCCUACCAAGGCGACGAUCUGUAGCGGGUCUGAGAGGAUGAUCCGCCACACUGGGACUGAGACACGGCCCAGACUCCUACGGGAGGCAGCAGUGGGGAAUAUUGGACAAUGGGCGGAAGCCUGAUCCAGCCAUGCCGCGUGUGUGAAGAAGGCCUUUUGGUUGUAAAGCACUUUAAGCGAGGAGGAGGCUCCUUUAGUUAAUACCUAAAGUGAGUGGACGUUACUCGCAGAAUAAGCACCGGCUAACUCUGUGCCAGCAGCCGCGGUAAUACAGAGGGUGCGAGCGUUAAUCGGAUUUACUGGGCGUAAAGCGUGCGUAGGCGGCUUUUUAAGUCGGAUGUGAAAUCCCUGAGCUUAACUUAGGAAUUGCAUUCGAUACUGGAAAGCUAGAGUAUGGGAGAGGAUGGUAGAAUUCCAGGUGUAGCGGUGAAAUGCGUAGAGAUCUGGAGGAAUACCGAUGGCGAAGGCAGCCAUCUGGCCUAAUACUGACGCUGAGGUACGAAAGCAUGGGGAGCAAACAGGAUUAGAUACCCUGGUAGUCCAUGCCGUAAACGAUGUCUACUAGCCGUUGGGGCCUUUGAGGCUUUAGUGGCGCAGCUAACGCGAUAAGUAGACCGCCUGGGGAGUACGGUCGCAAGACUAAAACUCAGAUGAAUUGACGGGGGCCCGCACAAGCGGUGGAGCAUGUGGUUUAAUUCGAUGC
rnacentral:rRNA from 1 species